rnacentral:lncRNA from 1 species
AAAUCACCUGAAUAAAUGCACAAGCGCUCACUGCAAGACCCCAUGCUAUACAAGGCACUGAGGGAAAGGAAGCAACAUUAUUCUUUCAGGGACUGCUAGGAUUAAAAGAAACUUUUAAGGCGAAUCUCCUCUUUUACUGAAGAGAAAACUAAGUGCUAGAUGCAUUGGGCAUUUGCUGCAUGUGGAGUCAAAUUGGCCAGAGUUUGAACCAUGGUCCUGCCACUUCCUGAUAAUGGCACCUCAGGUAUCUGGGCUGCUGACCCAAUAAAAUGGAGCCCCUGUGACCUGCUUUCAGGGCUUUCACAACUGGUCCCGCAUGACGACCCUGCCUGACAACCCCAACUUGGCUUCAGCCUUCCUCUUGCUGGAUGACUUCAGCAAGUCAGACACUCUCCAUGCAUGUGCCUUCUCGUUUAUAAAACAAAGACAGGAUUAUUGUGAGAAUCAAAUAAAAUAAUGGAUAUAAGCAUUUGU